UAGGGAAUCUUCCACAAUGGACGAAAGUCUGAUGGAGCAACGCCGCGUGAGUGAAGAAGGGUUUCGGCUCGUAAAGCUCUGUUGGUAGUGAAGAAAGAUAGAGGUAGUAACUGGCCUUUAUUUGACUGUAAUUACUUAGAAAGUCACGGCUAACUACGUGCC
rnacentral:rRNA from 1 species